AUCUUUAUGCUCGGGCAUUACGCAUAUCAGUGAGGAUUCGUCCGAGAUUGUGUAUUUGCUGGUUGAAAACUUUAACCUGACCGCUCCUGAAUGCGAACCCUUGUGGUUUGCGUGCAGGGAAUUUUUGGACCCUUUUCUCCCUUUUUGCUCAGGG
rnacentral:snRNA from 1 species